UCUCCGUUGGUGAACCGGCGGAGGGAUCAUUACCGAGUGCAAACUCAUAACCCUUUGUGAACCUAUAUCUGUUGCUUCGGCGGCUCGCUCUCGGGCGAGCCCGCCGGUAAUAUCAGUAUCUCUGUUUGAACCCGACGAUACUUCUGAGUGUUCUUAGCGAACAGUUAAAACUUUUAACAACGGAUCUCUUGGCUCUA
rnacentral:misc_RNA from 1 species